rnacentral:lncRNA from 1 species
GGAAAAACACAUCAAACCUUUGGGGUCUGGAAAUCUGCAAUCCUUUUAUUUCUUUGACCCUAUACCCUAUGGUUUCUUCCUGAAGUCUUUUUAAGUGUAAUUGCCCCAAACCUGAUAAUGUUUGCUCCAGUCCCCCUAGAAAGGUCUUUUCCUGGGACCUUUAACACUUGGUCCUAACCAUUUUACAUAUAAGGAAAUGGACCAAGAGCAGGUCAAUGGCUUGCACAAGGUCACAGCAAUAGUCUCUAGAGGAAGGUGCUGGGCAGUUAUUACAGACCGGUCUCAACCACCUCAUGCCUUUAUAGAAAGCCUCCUUUGAUCCAACCCCUUCUGUUGCAGAAUUGCCUCACCUCUUAUUCUGCCCUUUGGGGAAGCCAGGAGUGCAGCUGCUUCCCAGGUAGAGGCCUCAGUCUAGGGCUACUUGUCUUCUGCAUUCCCCCCUGCUCUUCUGGUAAAUAUAUACUAGCUGGUCCAGGCCCAGGCCCACCCACAUGGCUGCCUCCUUGGUUUAAUCAAUGACAUUUAUUUACCAUAAAUUAGCAGAGAAACAUGAACUACUUGGUACUUGGUGCUUAGGUGUAACCUUUAGAGGAACUCCUGGCCUAGAGAAAAAGCAAUACCUAAGGGUCCACAGAAUUUUCCAUUUUAAAUUGAUUUAAGAAUGAACAUAAGAGUUUGGGAUUCAGCAGGAAAAAGGAAAUUAAAUAGUAAGCGAAAACACCAAUUACAGUUAGUGCUUAAAAAGUGGCAAAUUAGGAUACUGUUUAACAUUAUACAUUUUGCCAAAAAUUAGAAAUGCAGCUUGGGACUACCUGGAGAUUGUCCCCCCUACUAUGCCAUUCUGUGGUAUUCAAUAAUGGCCCCUGUCUCAUACUAACAGAAAAAACAAGGGGAUCUCCUUUAUAUCUAAUUGGAUAUUGCCAUCCCCUGUUCCAAGAUCCUUGCAACUUAAAGGCUUCGAUGGUUCCAAUCUCCCAUGUUGUGAUCAGUAGACAAUAUCUUCUUGACAUAUUUUUCUAGCUGCUUUGGCAGUUUCUUGCUCUUCCCCCACCCCAAGAAUCCACCAAUUGUUUUAGUAGGUGAACAUUCCUGUCAUUCUUUUUUUUGAGGGUCUUCAGGCAAUUAAAUACCAUCUUAAGAGUUCCUUUGAUCUUCCUUUUGGGAGUAUACAAAGGAAGCGAGUGGAAAAUUAUUCCCCCCAACCUAUUGGCUACUCUGCUAACCCAGUUCCCACCAUUUUCUAAAUAUUAUCUAGCCUUCCAUUUCCCCAUCUGUAAAAAUGAGGGGAUUGGAUUGAACCUUUAUAGCCAACAGCUGUAAAUCAUGCCCCGGGCAUUGUCCGUUGAAUGUUCAGGGACAGAGGAGACGGAUUUUUGCUGUAACUGCCCGAAGUCAGGGGACCAGUUGGGAGCCACAGACACUGGCCCUAGACUCCCACACCUUUUGAGCUUUGGCUACAAGGGGAAGAGAGUACCACCAGAGGAAGAGCAGGAAGGGCUAAGCAGCCAAGAAGGCUUCCCCAGAAAUGGCAGUGGUGCCAUGGGGUGAGGCGCAAACAGGUGGUAGAAGACCAAAAAGGUGGUUCACAACUCUUCCCCCUUCCCCCCACACCCCCGCCCGACCACUCAUGGGAGACUAGGUUUUCUUGGGUCUCUGAACUCAAAUACUCCACCCCAGAGGGAGGUUAAGGAUCAAAGAUGUCGUGGCCCGGUGGAAUUUGAGACCACUCCUUCCCGGCAUGGGUGCUGGGGUCUGGGGAAGGAGAUGGAAGAGGGGCCCCGGGCCCAGCAUUUGGGCUUCGCUCUCCCCGCCCCCCCCCCCCCCCGGCCAGGUGAGUGAGGGGGAGGGGGAGAGCCCACUGCCUCCCUGAAGGGCUACUUGCUCGGCCCCGCCCCCCAGGUAGCCGGGCCCGCUCAGGGCCUUGCCCAGGGCCCUGCCCAGGGCCUUGCCCAGGGCCCGGGAAGCAGUGCAUCAGGGGGUGGAGGCAGCUGUUGCUCCCGGCCAGGCAGACGGUGAGGGGGGAGACGCAGGUGUGAAGCACCGUAGGUGGCGUCCCAGGGCACGAGGCCAAACUUGACCAGCACCCCCAGAGCGUGCCGGCGUGGUUGGGGAGCCAGCAGAAGAAAAGGGCGGCGGGGAUGGCGCCGAGCGCGCGGCCCCGCCGCCCUGUCCCGCCGCCGCCGCAGGCGCUCCGCCCAAGGACGGCCAGCAGCCGCAGGUAGCGGCCGCCGUGACCCCCUGCGCCGGCCAGCGGACGCUGGGGAGGCGGGGCAGACGAGGCGGGGCAGACACGGCCGCACCCGCCGCCCGGGCGGCCAGGCCCGGCCCCAGGGCCCGGGAGGGCCAGAGGCAGGCUCCGGGGCCCGCGGCCACCGCCCGCAUCCAGUACCGCGCGAGGCCGGGAGCGGUGACGAGGGAGACGCCGAGGACGGCGCCCGUCAGCACGGCCUCGCCGAGAAGGCCCCCAAAGGGCCAGCGGAAGCCCGGGGCGGACUCGGCGGCGCAGAAGGGAAAGCGUUGCCCACCUCUUGGUGGAGGGAAGAGCUGGGAAAAUUACUGGAUCGGGAUGGGCCCGGAGAGUGCCAGAAGAUGGAGCGGAAGUGGCAGAUUCUGCAAUCUUAUUCCUGGACCUUUUUCCAGGGGACACGACACAGUCCACAGAAAUCUCGCCUCCAGCUGCCCUUAGUAUGGAGUCUAGUAUUUCCCCCUACUUUUGCCUGAAGUUCAUCAAAAAAUCGAGGGAGAGGAGAAUUGGACUGGGAGAAGGGUGUGUUUAAGGGUUAUCUAGUGAUGUCCCCAAUGGACUCACAAUGACGCUUACAGGGAACAAGGAAGUGAGAGAAAGAUCUUAGGCUCCCUUGCUGAUCCAAUGCUCUCAGUCCUGCUUCUGUCUGCAGAUAUCUUCCUUUACUGCAGAUUUGCCCUUUUCUAGGUCUGACUCUGAAGAUAGAGCUCAGCAAUCCAAAAACCACCAAUCCAAACUGUCCUGGUGAAAACCACCUUUUCAGAACCUACCAAUGGAACAAGAAGCCUCUAAUUUUUUUUUUUUUUUAUUAAAGCUUUUUAUUUUCAAAACAUAUGCAUGCAAUUUUUCAACAGUAACUCUUGCAAAACCUUGUGUUCCAGUUUCUCCCCCCUCCCCCACCCCUUUCCCUAGAUGGCAAAUAGUCCAAUAUAUGUUAAACAUAGUAAAAAUAUGUUAAAUACAAUAUAUACAUAGAUAUUUAUACAAUUAUCUUGCUGCACAAGACAAAUCAAAUCAAACUGGAAAAAAAUGAGAAAGAAAAUAAAAUGCAAGCAAAGAACAACAAAAAGUGAAAAAGCUAUAUUGUGAAUCACACUCAGUUCCCACAGUCUUCCCUCUGGGUGUAGAUGGCUCUCUUCAUCACAAGAUCAUUGGGACUGGCCUGAAUCAUCUCAUUGUUGAAAAGAGCCAAGUCCAUCAGAAUAAGUCAUCGUAUAAUCUUAUUGUCGUGUAUAGUGAUGUCCUGGUUCUGUUCAUCUCACUCAGCAUUAGUUCAUGUAAGUCUCUCCAGGCCUCUCUGGAAUCAUCCUGCUGGUCAUUUCUUGCACAACAAUAAUGUUCCAUAACAUUCAUAUACCACAAUUUAUUCAGCCAUUCUCCAGUGGAUGGGCAACCACUCGGUUUCCAGUUUCUUGCCACUACCAGAAGGGCUGCCAGAAACAUUUUUUGCACAUGUGGGUCCCUUUCCCUCUUUAAGAUCUCUUUGGGAUCUAAUCCCAGUAGAAACAUUGCUGAGUUAAAGGGUUAACUUUUUAAACAUCGUUCCAAAUUGCUCUCCAGAAUGGUUGGAUCCAUCGAACAUCCAGC